GUCGACGCGGUCCAUUCGGUGGCAACACCGGAGAAGACCGAGUGGCGAACGGGUGAGUAACACGUGAGCAACCUGCCCCGAAGACUGGGAUAACACCGGGAAACCGGUGCUAAUACCGGAUACCCCCACCAGGCCGCAUGGCCCGGCGAGGAAAUGGGUUUCCGCUUCGGGAGGGGCUCGCGGCCUAUCAGCUUGUUGGUGAGGUAACGGCUCACCAAGGCGACGACGGGUAGCUGGUCUGAGAGGACGAUCAGCCACACUGGGACUGAGACACGGCCCAGACUCCUACGGGAGGCAGCAGUGGGGAAUCUUGCGCAAUGGGCGAAAGCCUGACGCAGCAACGCCGCGUGAGGGACGAAGGCUUUCUGAGUCGUAAACCUCUUUCAGCAGGGGCGAUUAUGACGGUACCUGCAGAAGAAGCCCCGGCCAACUACGUGCCAGCAGCCGCGGUGAUACGUAGGGGGCGAGCGUUGUCCGGAUUUAUUGGGCGUAAAGAGCUCGUAGGCGGUUUGGUAAGUCGGGUGUGAAACCUCCAGGCUCAACCUGGAGCCGCCAUCCGAUACUGCCAUGACUAGAGUCCGGUAGGGGACCAUGGAAUUCCUGGUGUAGCGGUGAAAUGCGCAGAUAUCAGGA
rnacentral:rRNA from 1 species